AGACGAAGGUGGCAACCGUUGUUCGGAAUCACUGGGCAUAAAGCGCACGUAGGCGGGAAAGCAAGUCGGGUGUGAAAUCCCUCGGCCCAACCGAGGAACUGCGCCCGAAACUGCUUUUCUUGAGGACAGAAGGGGAGCAUGGAAUUCCUGGUGGAGCGGUGAAAUGCGUUGAUAUCAGGAGGAACACCGGCGGCGAAGGCGAUGCUCUGGUCUGUUUCUGACGCUAAGGUGCGAAAGCCAGGGGAGCAAACGGGAUUAGAAACCCCAGUAGUCC
rnacentral:rRNA from 1 species